UACAGAGGGUGCGAGCGUUGUUCGGAAUCACUGGGCGUAAAGCGCGUGUAGGCGGCCUGCGAAGUCUGAUGUGAAAGCCCGGGGCUCACCCCCGGAAGUGCAUUGGAAACUGGCAGGCUGGAGUCCCGGAGAGGAGGGUGGAAUUCCUGGUGUAGCGGUGAAAUGCGUAGAUAUCUGGAAGAACACCGGUGGCGAAGGCGGCCUUCUGGACGGUGACUGACGCUGAGACGCGAAAGCGUGGGGAGCAAACAGG
rnacentral:rRNA from 1 species